GGCCCAAAUCUGAAGUAGGGUAGAUUAGUAAGAUCAGCUGAUCCUGUUACUUCACUGUACUCCAAAAUUGGACCC
rnacentral:pre_miRNA from 1 species